rnacentral:rRNA from 1 species
UACAGAGGGUGCAAGCGUUAAUCGGAAUUACUGGGCGUAAAGCGUGCGUAGACGGUUAUGUAAGUCGGGUGUGAAAGCCCCGGGCUCAACCUGGGAACCGCGCUUGAGACUGGCACGCUCGAGUUCGGGAGAGGAUGGUGGAAUUCCCAGUGUAGAGGUGAAAUUCGUAGAUAUUGGGAAGAACACCGAUGGCGAAGGCAGCCAUCUGGACCGACACUGACGCUGAGGCGCGAAAGCGUGGGGAGCAAACAGG